AAUAAAAUGGCUGAAUUUUAAGCGAUAAAUUGUAAAUUUAUUUAUGAGAUAAAUUUCUCUUUUAUUA
rnacentral:tRNA from 1 species